CCUACGGAGUGCUGCAGUGGGGAAUAUUGCACAAUGGGGGAAACCCUGAUGCAGCGACGCCGCGUGAGUGAAGACGUACUUCGUUAUGUAAAGCUCUAUCAGCAGGGAAGAAAAUGACGGUACCUGAGUAAGCAGCCCCGGCUAACUACGUGCCAGCCGCCGCGGUACUACGUAGGGGGCAAGCGUUAUCCGGAUUUACUGGGUGUAAAGGGAGCGUAGACGGCAGUGCAAGUCUGGAGUGAAAGGCGGGGGCUCAACCCCCGGACUGCUCUGGAAACUGUACGGCUGGAGUGCAGGAGAGGUAAGUGGAAUUCCUAGGGUAGCGGUGAAAUGCGUAGAUAUUAGGAGGAACACCAGUGGCGAAGGCGGCUUACUGGACUGUAACUGACGUUGAGGCUCGAAAGCGUGGGGAGCAAACAGGAUUAGAUACCCAAGUAGUC
rnacentral:rRNA from 1 species